rnacentral:rRNA from 1 species
GGAGCGAACGCUGGCGGCAGGCCUAACACAUGCAAGUCGAACGGAUCCUUCGGGAUUAGUGGCGGACGGGUGAGUAACACGUGGGAACGUGCCUUUUGGUUCGGAACAACUCAGGGAAACUUGAGCUAAUACCGAAUGUGCCCUUCGGGGGAAAGAUUUAUCGCCAUUAGAGCGGCCCGCGUCUGAUUAGCUUGUUGGUGAGGUAAAGGCUCACCAAGGCUACGAUCAGUAGCUGGUCUGAGAGGAUGAUCAGCCACAUUGGGACUGAGACACGGCCCAAACUCCUACGGGAGGCAGCAGUGGGGAAUCUUGCGCAAUGGGCGAAAGCCUGACGCAGCCAUGCCGCGUGAAUGAUGAAGGUCUUAGGAUUGUAAAAUCCUUUCAGCGGGGACGAUAAUGACGGUACCCGCAGAAGAAGCCCCGGCUAACUUCGUGCCAGCAGCCGC